AACGAACGCUGGCGGCAGGCUUAACACAUGCAAGUCGAACGCGAAAUCACCUUCGGGUGGUGGAGAGUGGCAGACGGGUGAGUAACGCGUGGGAAUCUACCUGAUGGUACGGAAUAACUCAGGGAAACUUGAGCUAAUACCGUAUGUGCCCGAGAGGGGAAAGAUUUAUCGCCAUCAGAUGAGCCCGCGUCGGAUUAGCUAGUUGGUGGGGUAAAAGCCCACCAAGGCGACGAUCCGUAGCUGGUCUGAGAGGAUGAUCAGCCACACUGGGACUGAGACACGGCCCAGACUCCUACGGGAGGCAGCAGUGGGGAAUAUUGGACAAUGGGCGCAAGCCUGAUCCAGCCAUGCCGCGUGAGUGAUGAAGGCCCUAGGGUUGUAAAGCUCUUUCGACGGGGACGAUAAUGACGGUACCCGUAGAAGAAGCCCCGGCUAACUUCGUGCCAGCAGCCGCGGUAAU
rnacentral:rRNA from 1 species